UUAUUUAUUUAUGAAAGACACAGAGAGAGAGAGAGAGAGAGAGAGGCAGAGACACAGGCAGAGGGAGAAGCAGGCUCCAUGCAGGGAGCCCCAUGCGGGACUCGAUCCCAGGACCCCAGGAUCACACCCUGGCCCGAAGGCAGGUGCUAAACCACUGAGCCACCCAGGAAUCCCGCUUUUGGGAUUUCAAAUGGAUUUUCCUCUCUCUAUAUUAUUUCAUUUAAUCCUCAUAACUCAGGAAGUAAAUAUCUAUCAACAUUAAAUUAAUAUUCAUUAUUUUUUGAACACAUACUAUGUGGAAGAGAGAUGGAGAAUGCCAGAGGAGUGAUCAAUCUGAAAUAUGGUGGCCACAGAAGUCUUACCUACACUGGAAAAAAAGUGGAGGUUACAUAUCUCUAGGUUUCAACAGACAUUCAUCAAAUGGAAGAUAAGUGGUAUACAGCAGAGCCAGGGUGCAAUUAUUGUACUAAUCCCUCAGUGAUAAAUUAGAAGGCUCUUGAAAUAGCCCAGGCCAGACAAAUGAAUGCCAAAUAGGUAGCCCUAUGAGAAUGAUUCAAACAACAGGACAGAGAUGGAAUCAGUUUAGAUGUGGGGGUCCCAGGUGGAUGCAGCUGUUGUCACUGGAACAGGAGGAGAAGGAAGGGGCAGAGUUUGGAAGGCAAGAAAGGAGACAAGGUAUGGGUCAGGUAAACAUACCUGUAGGUAUGAGGGCCCUCCAAAAGGUCCAGAGGGCCCUCAGUACGGUAGGUGUGGGCUGCAGAGAGGCUGAGAUAGGAAAUGCAAGAUGGAGCAUUACUGGCAUGUAGAUGGCAGCUCAGGCUUGGGCACUGCCCUGCUACAGCCCUGCCAGGAAGAGAAGAGGAAGGGGCUGGCACCAACCUCCUCUGGGCAAUCUCAGUCCUGCCUGUGAGCUCCAUGGAAGCAGGCUACACGGGACAGGGCCGGUACUGGUGAAACGACCGAGUAGGUUCUACGUGAGUGCAUCUCUCAGGGACCCGCUGCAGCUGCCAGCUCUACUGCAUGGCCCCUAUCCUGGACGCAGUCUCAUUAUUCAGCUCUCACUUCUUAAAUUAGUUCAUGCUCUCACAUUAGGUGUAAUCACGGCUGGCAACGCUUUCUGGGGAUGUCUCCAAAAGAUUAGAGUCGGAAAAAAAAUUUUUGUGUGUCAUUUUAAUCUAAAGUAAAAUUGUUGCCUCUUUUCCCAUCCCUUCCCCUUUCUCCAGGCGAGCCUGAGUGACUGCAAACGGAGGCGGGUGUCGGGGAUGGGGUUCCCCGCAGGUGAUUCUUUAGACAGCUAUCAAAGUCUCAAAGAAACAAAGGAGGUUGACAAGCUGAAAGGCGUGGCUAUUGGCGAUUCCAAGGCAGGCUUCCCCGCGUGGGGGAGCGCGUACCCAUGGGCGGCAGACCUCGCUGGUGGCAAAUCCUGAGGUUGAAAGGAAGCGCAGUCGGUCCGAGCCCCCAGGUCUUGCCAGACUCCCCGGCUUGCGCUGGGCUGCCGCCUGCCGCUCGUCGGCUCUGGCUCUGCGGAGCUCGCAGAUUCAAGGUCGCCCGGGGGUGACCGCGGCGCCAGGUGCCCCGGGGGCGGGGGCAGCAUCCCUCCCCGCCCGCCUCCGCGUGGGGUCCGGAGCCGGCACCUCAGCUCGGGCUGUGGCCGGGAGGUCCGCUCGUCCUCCGCUUCCGCCCGCUUAACCGCCCGCGAUCCUCCAGCAGGUCUCCGCCCGCCGCACCUCGGGCUCCAGCGCGCCCUUCCUCUUACCCUCUCCGCAGUUCCCUUCUCCCUGCCACUUGGCCAAACUGUAUUUUUGCUUCCUCGUUUGUGAUUGCAAACACCCGUUUGUGUGUGCAAAGUUCUAAGUCAACGUGUGCGGCAAAAAUUCUUGUAGGGUCAGAAUUACUCCUGAAAAAUCGCCCACGACUCGCAAGAUUUGGGGUCUACAACUCAGCUCUAAGGUACAGGUCACGUAGAUAAAACACGCAGUAAAGAUGCACGGCACAGACAAAAAAUACGGAUGCAACGUAUCAACCGUUAAGUGCCAAAGGGAAAAAGCGAUCCGGUAAUGGGCCUGCGUGCGACGCCACCGUGCUUGUCACUGCCCAGUGUGCUGGGCCUCGUCGGCGUCGGUUCACCACGGCACCCUCCGCGCGCGGCCCCGGGCCUGGCACUUCACGCGCGUGCAAUGAUCCAUCCCGAAGAGAAGGAAGGAACGCGGCCCGCAGGCUAGGGGCCGUGAGAGGCAGGCGGGGCAGCUGGGCGAGCUCCACCCCGGCGGCCGCGGCCGCGGUCCCCGCACCUCCCGGGAGGCUGCCGCGCUCGCCCC
rnacentral:lncRNA from 1 species